CCGGUGUGGCAGCCUUUGCCACGUUCUCGCUGGUACAGUUUACGUUUGUGUGUUUUUCAGGCAUCUUAAGACUCAAGUACACAAGACUUGCUAACCAUCAGGGAGUCUUCUCCGGAAUUUUUUUUGACAACUCUCACCAAUUCGCUGAAUCUUUUUCCGGAGUUACUCGUCAGCGAAGGAGGGGGAUGCGAGCUAGUACACAACUUAAACUUCAAAAGAGGGGACAUCGACUAGUGCUCCUGUUGACUCAUUUCCGGAACCUAUGCUCCCAAACCAUGGAAAUGGAUGAAUUUCAAAUUCUGAUCAAGACCUGGAAAGGCUGAACAUUCUGCUGCUCUGUGCUUCACGGAGACUUGGCUUUGUGGAUGCGUCACCGCCGCCGCCAUUACACUUCCCGGCUUUCACCUUCAUUGUGCGGACUGCGUCGCGGAGCUAACAUGGAAAUCGAAAUAUGUAAAAUGCUUUUAUAUCAAUGAUAACUGGUGCCUGGACGUUAAACAGCUCAUCACACACUGCAGUGUACUUUCAGAGUCGUUCUUUUUUAACUGUAAAGUUAAAGUAAGUUUUAUUCAUCAGUUUUUCUCUAGAAGAAAGGGUGUUAGCUGUUACUUCUGGAACUUCGCAAAGCAUCAAAGUGAAGUUUGGAUUACUGGAGACGUAGGCCCAGAGGAAAAGGCCCUAACAUGGAUUUCCUUCUUCAUAAAAAGAGGGUUUUAAAGGGACUUUGGUGGUGUUCAAAAUAAUGUGGAGACCUUGACUCGUUUUGUAUAACUGUAAAGUCUGUUGCAGGUGUCUAGUGAAUUCAGAUGUUCCCCAAGAUGUUGUCCAUUCAUCAUUUUCAUUUCACUCAUUUAUUGAUUUAUUUGUUUUGUGUAUAAGGUUUGUAUAUAACGUUCACCUGCCCUAAUCUUUGUGUGUAAAGUUUACCUGCCCUCUCAUCCCUCCUGUUGAGACAUGCGUUAGCUCAUGUCUCAAUUUAGUACGACUCGUUUAUUGUUUGGUCAUCCACAGAUGUAAUUUUUUUUAGAAUUGUUUUUUUUUUAAUUGUAGAAUCUGUUUUUGGACUCUGUUGCUGAAUUUUUCCACAAUGUAUCAAAUUCUAGAUUUGUCGUUUUGUCUAUUAUCAUAAUUUGAGUUUUUCCGCAAUGCAGCUCCCUUUAUUAUUCUAUCAGUGAAAGCCUUUCUCAAUGAAAUCAUAUUUUUGUUUGA